rnacentral:rRNA from 1 species
GCGUUGUUCAGAUUCAUUGGGCGUAAAGGGUGCGUAGGUGGCGGGGUAAGUCAGGUGUGAAAUUUCGGAGCUCAACUCCGAAACUGCAUUUGAUACUGCCUUGCUUGAGGACUGGAGAGGAGACUGGAAUUUACGGUGUAGCAGUGAAAUGCGUAGAGAUCGUAAGGAAGACCAGUGGCGAAGGCGGGUCUCUGGACAGUUCCUGACAAUGAGGCACGAAGGCCAG